rfam:Felis catus isolate Cinnamon breed Abyssinian chromosome C1, whole genome shotgun sequence.
GCCUGGGUGGCUCAGUUGGUUAAGCGUCCGACUUCAGCCCAGGUCAUGAUCUCACAGUUCGUGGGUUCAAGCCCCACAUCGGGCU